AAUGCGGGACUCUAAGAGGCCCCGUAAUUGGAAUGAGUACACCUUAAAUCGUUUAACGAGUAUCAAUUGGAGGGCAAGUCUGGUGCCAGCAGCCGCGGUAAUUCCAGCUCCAAUAGCGUAUAUUAAAGUUGCUGCAGUUAAAAAGCUCGUAGUUGGAUCUGGGGCUUGAGGUCGCUGUCUAUCGUUUCGGCGAUGACGGUGAUGCUCAGCUCUGCUUGCCGGUGACUGUUACGGUGUUCUUCACUGAGCGCUGUAGCAGCACGGCACGUUUACUUUGAAAAAAUUAGAGUGCUCAAAGCGUGCUUGUCGCUUGAAUAAUGUUGCAUGGAAUAAUGGAAUAGGACCUCGGUUCUAUUUUGUUGGUUUUCGGAGCUUGAGGUAAUGAUUAAGAGGGACGAACGGGGGCAUUCGUAUUGCGGUGUUAGAGGUGAAAUUCUUGGAUCGCCGCAAGACGGACUACUGCGAAAGCAUUUGCCAAGAACGCUUUCAUUAAUUAAGAACGAAAGUCAGAGGUUCGAAGACGAUCAGACACCGUCCUAGUCCUGACCAUAAACGAUGCCGACCAGCGAUCCGUAGUGGUUGCUUUAUGGACCCUACGGGCAGCCUCCGGGAAACCAAAGCAUUUGGGUUCCGGGGGAAGUAUGGUUGCAAAGCUGAAACUUAAAGGAAUUGACGGAAGGGCACACCAGGAGUGGAGCCUGCGGCUUAAUUUGACCCAACACGGGAAAACUCACCCGGUCCGGACACCGUAAGGAUUGACAGACUGAUAGCUCUUUCUUGAUUCGGUGGAUGGAGGUGCAUGGCCGUUCUUAGUUGGUGGAGUGAUUUGUCUGGUUAAUUCCGAUAACGAACGAGACUCUAGCCUGCUAAGUAGUGUUGCUAUUGUUAUAUGGUUGACACUUCUUAGAGGGACAAGUGGCAUUUAGCCACGCGAAAUUGAGCAAUAACAGGUCUGUGAUGCCCUUAGAUGUCCGGGGCCGCACGCGCGCUACACUGGAGAAGUCAGCGUGUGUUAUCCAAGUCCGAAAGGACUGGGUAAUCCGUUGAACCUUCUUCGUGCUUGGGACUGUGGCUUGGAACUAUUCCACAUGAACGAGGAAUUCCUAGUAAUUGCAAGUCAUAAGCUUGCGUUGAUUACGUCCCUGCCCUUUGUACACACCGCCCGUCGCUACUACCGAUUGAAUGGUUUAGCAAGGUCCUCGGAUCGUGGCCGUAGGGGCACGCAAGUGUUUCUGCGGUUUGCGAGAAGACGACCAAACUUGAUCAUUUAGA
rnacentral:rRNA from 1 species